UUAAAGGCUUUUUUAAAAGCUACACUUACUCCUUUUACUAAGCUU
rfam:Operophtera brumata OBRT01_Sc01407, whole genome shotgun sequence.